rnacentral:rRNA from 1 species
UACGAAGGGGGCUAGCGUUGUUCGGAUUUACUGGGCGUAAAGCGCACGUAGGCGGACUAUUAAGUCAGGGGUGAAAUCCCGGGGCUCAACCCCGGAACUGCCUUUGAUACUGGUAGUCUUGAGUUCGAGAGAGGUGAGUGGAAUUCCGAGUGUAGAGGUGAAAUUCGUAGAUAUUCGGAAGAACACCAGUGGCGAAGGCGACACACUGGCCCGUUACUGACGCUGAGGCGCGAAAGCAUGGGGAGCGAACGGG